rnacentral:rRNA from 1 species
UAAGGAAUAUUGGUCAAUGGACGCAAGUCUGAACCAGCCAUGCCGCGUGGAGGAUGAAGGUCCUCUGGAUUGUAAACUUCUUUUAUCUGGGACGAAACACUUCUUUUCUAAGAGGCCUGACGGUACCAGAUGAAUAAGCACCGGCUAACUCCGUGCCAGCAGCCGCGGUAAUACGGAGGGUGCAAGCGUUAUCCGGAUUCACUGGGUUUAGAGGGUGCGUAGGUGGGUAUGUAAGUCAGUGGUGAAAUCCCCGAGCUUAACUUGGGAACUGCCAUUGAUACUAUAUAUCUUGAAUACCGUAGAGGUAAGCGGAAUAUGUCAUGUAGCGGUGAAAUGCUUAGAUAUGACAUGGAACACCAAUUGCGAAGGCAGCUUACUAUGCGGUGAUUGACACUGAGGCACGAAAGCGUGGGUAGCAAACA